ACGGGGGUGAGGAGUACGUCAGGAGCAGAUUUGUACCGACAGCACCGGGUGCAUUCUCCCGUCAAACGCCAUAAAAAGGCGCGCGGGAGUGAUCAAAGCGGCGCGCGCUGCUGCUGCGGAGAAAAACGGGGGCUCGCGCUCUGCGCCCCGCCGUCUCGCGGGUGGAGGCGGUUUUGAAGGAAAAUGCUCCCUGACACGCGGAGAAAAGAAACGUUCAGGAACGGUUUGAGAAACGCGACGGAGAAUCGGCCUUCGAAUUCCCCAGAGCUCAAUCCGAUCGACGGGACGUGCUGGAGAAACGAGUCCGAUCUUACAGGACGUAAAGGAUCUACCGCUAACGUCCUGGUACCAGCUACCACAGCACACCUUCCGAGGUCCUGUGGAGUCCACGCCCGGCCGGGUCAGCGCCGUUCCUGCAGCACAAAGGGGAACCUAAACGCUAUUAGGCAGGUGGUUUUAACGUUAUGGCUGGUGGAUGUAUAUAGAAUACCUGACUCAAAAACAGCUCAUGCUUUUAACUUGCAGUUCCACAUUAACCCUUUAUACGUUUAUUCAUUCUGUCAUUUUUUAAUUUCAGCAACAGUGAUUUUGAAGGCAAAGAUACGAAAGGAGAGCAAACACAUGGCUUUAAUUUAGACAGUUUUAUUUGAGAUCAUUACAAAAAAGACACAAUGGGAAGAUUAUCCAUGCACAGAUGAGCUUGUGGAUGAGCGUGUUCAUCUAUGUUCUCACACGGGUUUAGUAACAGCCAAACGGAUCAGCUUUUAUAGGAACUAUCUACAGAAUCCUGAAAAAGGGUGAGGCACAGGCUGGGUCACGCUGGUUAUUAGAGGCGGUGUAAGUGUGGAAAGAGUUAAAGAUGAACGUGAAACCCAGCCGGACCCGUGUUCUGAACAUGUUCGGAUUCUCCUGCGCUGCUUUACACAUCCACGACCUUCACAAGUGCUUUCAUUUCUUUCUGCAAGGCCUAGUGGUGCACGUUUAAUUCUCUAUUAUUUACACAAUCGGCCAUGCAUUCUGUACGUGUGUGUGUGUGUGUGUGUGUGGCAGCCCACUUGUAAAGCUCUACUGUGGAUACGCCUCAAUCACCAUCGCGUGACCCUGAGGGAAACCAGAAAUGUGUUACUAUUGACAUGAAUAUACAGAUCGUUCAUUACUUAGGAUUAAAGUAGAAAUCGCAAACUUAUUUUUAAAAAGUCUUUGAAUUACUAAUAUUACAAUCAAUAAAUAUCAAUUUAAUAGUACAAUAUUAUUGUAAUACAAAUAUGAAUAAAAAGCUAUGUAAAAACAAAUACAUGUAGGCUAGUAGAGAUUAGAAUAAGAGGCUAAGUAGAUAAAGAAUUAAUUUAUUUUUAUAUUAAAUUCAGAUAUAAAUGCGUUAGCAAAGUGUAAUAGUACAAAUAUUACUGGGGGAAAAAAUUAAUAAAGUUAUAGUACUAAAUAUAAUACUGAACUAAAAAUAAGGAAAUAGUUUAACGCUGUUCUAAAAAUAAUUUAAGAAUGUGUAGCGGAAGAUGACGGGGAACAAUUCAACCCAAGAAACACAGUAAUGAUGAAGAAAAUAUAGACAUUAAGUAAACAAUACUUCUUAUAAACUCACUGUAUAUUUUUGCUACAAUAUUAAAUUAGCAUCAAUUUAUAAUAUACAAGUGUUUAUUACUGUAAUUACUGUUGCAUGUGUGUGUUACCUGUCCCCCUGCUGCACACGCUGCCACCAGGCCGUACUGUCCCCCCUCCUUCUUAAGCCGGUGUGCUACCGUGGUAACCAGGCGACAGCCGGUGGCUCCGAACGGGUGUCCGAGGGAGAGCGAGCCGCCCCACAGGUUAAACUUCUCCAUGGGAGGACGACCAACCUGGAGCAUGAGUGUGUACACGAUUAACACACGUAAUUAACCAACCAAACACCUUGAGCAGGAAUGACUGCAACCAAACGCAGAAGAGUUUUUCCGUUUGGAGACAACGGCUCUCGCUGUGGUUCUUUGGAGUCCCAGAGCCUUUGAAAUAGCUUGGCAACCCUUCCCAGACUGAUGUCUUUCAAUCACCUUCUUCAUCAUCAUCAUCAUCAUCAUCAUCAUCAUCUCUGGAAUUUCUUUCACUCUGGCGUUGUGUGUUACUGAGUCGCCUUUGGCAGAAAGAGGGAAAAAAAAGGAGAGAGGUUGUGGAAGGACAUGAAGCAAGCAGUUCAUGUGAGGAAGUCCAUCAACAUCCCAGAGACGAAGCUGUUCUAUACUGAGGAACGGGAUAAAACUCCUCCGAGCCGAUGUUCAGGACUGAUCAACGGUUACCCCAAACGUUCACAUACUUUUGCCACGCACAGAUAUCUAAUAUUGGGUGAAUUAAAUGACCAAGCGUAAUAUGUUUGUCUGGUUUGUUUAACUGGGUUCUCUUCAUCUACUUUCAGGACUCUAAAAUGGAAUUCUGAUGAUGUUGUAGGUCACGUUUAUGCAGAAAUAUAGAAACCUCUAAAGGGUUCACAAACUUACAAGCACCACUGUAUAGGUAGAGAAAGAAAGCAUUAAAGAAUGAGAGGAAAAAAGAAGUAGGGAAGAAAGAACAGGUCUGGGGGCGGGGCUACAGUGUUUAUGAUGUAGUAUCUGUGUAAGUCAAGAGACGGUAACAUCACAGCGCUACGUGGAAGUGGACGCACUCACCGCGAAAGCCUCGUGGAACUCGAACACGUCGAUGUCGGCCAGCGUCAGGCCGCUCUUCUCCAGGACCUUCGGCGUGGCGUAGGUCGGGCUGG